GCCGUUCGAAGCGGAUGACACCGUGCACCGUGCCUCUCGUAGUUUUGAACCCGUUUUCGAUACGAAUUCCGUAAAUCAGUCAGUGCUUUCUCCCACUUCUCAUAGCCGCGAGUCGCGAUCGUCGUCCGUCAUACCUCGAUUCCGGGUUUGCUGCAGCUUCCUCGCUCUUUUUUUCUGCUUUUUUGUUCAAUCCGUUUGUCUCCGGUAAGUUUGGUUCAAUGCAGCCAGCCAGUCCAGUGUUGAUUGCUCGCUGUUCGAUCGCGGUUGUUUUGUGCGACUUUGAGCUCUGAUCUAUUUAAUAGUUUUUUUCUCUCGGAUUUUUUUUUGUUUAUUGUAUGGGGAAACGUGUGCUCCAGUAACCAUUGACUGGAAGAUUACAACGGACUCGGGAGCCGUUUGUUGAUUAUCUUUUCGACCAGAGAUCUCCGAUUUUGAUUGUUUGGGAAAGUCGAAAAUCAGGUAGCUACGGGGUGAUAAAGUGAUUAACGAUUGAUAUCUUUCUAAUAGCCUUUUGAACCUGUGUCUGGGUACGAGUGUUGAUGAUCAUCGCUCAUCAAGUGUGGUACCCAUAAAGAGAUGGUAAAAGCGGGCCAAUCGGUCGAUCAAGUGAAGAAAUCGGGUGUUUCUUUGGUGUAGCAAGAAAUUUGGAGUUGGGAGUUCAUCAAUUCGCAGUUUGUUAGAUCAGUGACACUGAUCUUGGAUGUGGCAAGUGGUUUGUGGAUGGUGAAAAUUGCGAACAUUGAUUGGCUCGAUCGAUCAAGGCAGUGUCGGUGUGAAGAGCAUCGGAAAAGUGUUCAAGCCGCUGACGAGAGGCUGGGAUCCUUGUGAAGAAGAAGAUCUGCAGCAUCCAACGAGCGAAGAGUCUUUAACAGGUCGUUCUCAGCUGAGGUUUGACGAGCUUGACCUAGCCCCUGGCAGUGUGUGAUAAUUGGUGUUGCAAACGAUAACAACUAUCUAGGUCGUUACGAGAGCUCUGGUGUCUGUGAAGAAGAUCCAGCUCCAGCAGAAGAGGCUUGUCUAUACUCGGCAGUUCUCCUCAGCUCUACUCAAAGGCUUCGGGGAACGUGUAUGCUGACGAAGAUCAGCAAUUGAUCACAGCGCCGCGUUGGUUUGAUUUGAAGUCGAGGGUCCGUCUGUUGCUGCAGUCACAAAUGAUAAGGCUAAGCGUUUCGAGAUAAUCAUGAGUCAGUACUACUUCCCGAUUGUCCUGGUUUUUCUGCUGGAACUGUUACGAAUAACUCACUCACAUCCAUUCAUCUUCAGUGCGUCGUCGGGUCAAACUUCGCGAAGAUCUUUAAUUGAAUGGGUUCAACCGGAGGAUAAUUGGGACAUUCAGACGGUGCCCAGGAGCAUACACCCGGUGAUAGAGAAACGCCAAAAUGAUCAUCAGUUACCACCGACCACCUAUCAGGUGAUCGAUUCCGAGAAUCACGAUGAAAAAUUGUUGAAGAAAAUGCUACAGGCCCGAGAUAAUGCUACAGCUAGGACCCUUUUCUAUUACAACAAGGAAGAGUCACACCUGCCGCCACUUCUAACGAAAACGAUAAAGUAUUUCAACCUACAACAGGUUGCUUUCGAACUUGAAACCAGUGUAAUGUCCCAGGUGUCGUGUACGGCAUGCAAAGCUGGUGCUGGUCUGCUACAACAUUAUAUCAAAACUGGAAAGAGCAAAGAAGAGAUAAUUAAAACGAUCUACCACUACUGUGUCAACUUAAAAAUUCAAUCUCCUCGCGUCUGUGAAGGCGUUAGUCAGCUGUUCGGAGUUGAAGUUAUCUAUGUGCUGAAACGAGUAACCAUAGGACCGGAUGAGAUCUGUAGCUUCAUCAUUGGUGAUGCUUGUGGUGACAUCUACAAUCCUUACCACGAAUGGGAAGUUGAGUUUCCACCGGUUGCGAAGCCAGAAGUUAAAGAACUUACUCUUCCUACUGAAUCUGCUCCGGUGUUCAAGGUGCUGCACAUCUCCGAUACCCAUUACGAUCCUUACUAUGCCGAGGGUUCCAAUGCCGAUUGCAACGAACCUCUGUGCUGCAGACUUACAAAUGGGCGACCCACAACUCCCAACGGAGCUGCUGGAAAAUGGGGUGACUACAGGAAAUGCGACACUCCUCAACGAACAGUAGAUCACAUGCUGAACCACAUCGCAGAAACACACUCCGACAUCGAUUUCAUCAUUUGGACUGGAGACCUGCCACCUCACGAUGUCUGGAACCAAACCAAGGAGGAAAACCUCAAAGUCCUCAAAGAAACGGUAAAGCAAAUGUCCGAGAAAUUCCCCGGUAUCCCAAUCUUUCCUGCCCUCGGAAACCACGAGAGCGCUCCGGUCAACAGCUUCCCACCACCAUACGUUCAACAGGUGGACACCUCAAUAUCCUGGCUGUACGACGAACUAGACGUACAAUGGCGACGAUGGCUGCCGGCUAGCGUAUCUCACACGGUCCGUCGAGGUGCCUUCUAUUCGGUCCUGGUCCGGCCCGGCUACCGGAUCAUCUCCAUGAACAUGAACUACUGUAACAACAAAAACUGGUGGCUUCUGCUGAACUCCACCGAUCCUGCUACCGAGCUACAGUGGUUCAUCUACGAGCUACAGAGUGCAGAAUUCGCCAACGAGAAGGUGCACGUCAUCGGUCACAUUCCACCAGGGCAUUCAGACUGUCUGAAAGUGUGGAGCAGAAACUACUACAAAAUCAUAUCCCGCUACGAGAGUACGAUCGUGGCACAGUUCUUCGGGCAUACGCACUUCGAUGAGUUCGAGGUGUUCUAUGAUCCUAAUGACCUAAGUCGAGCUACAAGCAUUGCGUACAUUGGACCUUCGGUUUCGCCAUAUUACAAUCUCAAUCCAGGUUAUCGAAUUUACUACGUCGAUGGUGAUCAUGAGCAGACUACACGGCUCGUGGUUGAUCACGAAUCAUGGAUCAUGAACCUGAAGGAGGCCAACCUGUACGACUACCCGAUCUGGUACAAGCUGUACUCGACCCGGGCGGCCUACGCCAUGCGGGGACUGCGGCCAGCCGACUGGGACAUGCUGAUCAACAACAUGACCGACAACAAGGAACUGUUCGAUCUGUAUUAUAAACACUACUGGAAAAACUCACCCGUGCGGCCGGAAUGCGACUACGAGUGCCGGAAGCGGAUAUUGUGCGAUGCCAAAAGUGGGCGCAGCCACGACCGGAAAUACUUCUGCGAGGACGUGGAGGCCAAGAUCGACGAGAACAACAAGGGCUGGCGGGAAUGGAUUUUCAGCUCGAUUUCGUCUUCCGUCAAAUCUUCCGAACACAAAUCAGAGCCGGUUGGUGAUCUAGCCAAUUCACAUGAGGACGAAGCUGAGCACCUUCAACGCUUGAUUGACGCUGCCCACGAGAAGAAUAAGGAGACGCCUCUCGUCCAACUGGUUAAGGGAUGAACACGUGUUAAAUAUACGCAUUUAAAUGUUGUGGAAAUUCAUCGCAAAAACUUGAUUUUCAUACGCCCUAUCAGGUCUGACGCGGAUAUUCUGGCGCAAACGAUGACCUCCACCAGCCGAAAGUUGAAUAGCACCCCGCGGUUGAAUGAAUGAGUAGUAUUUUGGAAUUGGAUACAGGACGCCAGCAUUACCUCCUACUAAUUGAUAUUAGCAAAAAUACAAUAACAAAAACAGUGACCAUCAAACUUAACUGGAAGCUCAAACAGUUUAACAAGUGAUUGAUCAUGUUUUGUUUUAUUUAAAUUUUUGAGAAAAAGGAAGUAAUUGACCAGACAUUCUAAAACAACAGAUAACGAUGCAGGAAACAGACGUCCUUACUUGUACAAAUAUUAACCAUUAAAUUGUUCCAUGUUCCAAUUAGAAUCGGCAACGAUCCAGUUAAUGACUCUCACGUCGCAUAACCGCUUUUAACAUAAAUACAACACCCCAUUGAGUUGGAUUACGUCCAUUCUCUAAGAAAAAAGCUGCUGAAAUCGGGGAAAUCUCAUCAUUGUGAAACCCAGUGUUCAAUAAAUCUACCUUGUUAUCGAAUUCCGAUUAAAGAUGGAUUUGUAGAAUUUAACGAGAACCUUUGGAGCGAUAGAGUAUUAAAAUUUGAACCGCUGAAAAUAAAAGUCAACUAUAUAACUAAACGCAUCCUUCAAACAAACGACUGUGUAAAUACAAGAUUUAAAAUUUACCAAAAUAAAUUAUUUCUAUUGUACUGUAUACUGGGC